UCGCGCUAGGUGGGGAGGUAGCGGUUCCCUGAACCCGAAAUCCGCUCCAGCGGGACCGAACGCCGUCCGAGGGGCGGUUUCAUCGGGAUUGGUCUGCGCACGAGGUGUUGACAGGUCGGGUCCCGCGCACUGGGAGCGUUCGAACCGCGUCAGGUCCGGAAGGAAGCAGCGCUAAGGACUCCCUCCCAGGUGCCGCGGUUCCGCCCGGCCCGAGCCGGCGACGCAGGUUCCUCCGGGGAAGCCCGUUUCGACGACGGAGCGCGU
rnacentral:SRP_RNA from 1 species